GAACCGUACGAACGUUAUUCGGAAUUACUGGGCUUAAAGGGUGCGUAGGCUGCACGGAAAGUUGGGUGUGAAAGCCCUCAGCUCAACUGAGGAAUUGCAUCCAAAACUGCCGUGCUUGAGGGAGACAGAGGUGAGCGGAACUCAAGGUGGAGCGGUGAAAUGCGUUGAUAUCUUGAGGAACACCGGUGGCGAAAGCGGCUCACUGGGUCUCUUCUGACGCUGAGGCACGAAAGCUAAGGUAGCAAACGGGAUUAGAUACCCCGGUAGUCUUAGCUGUAAACGAUGAGCACUUGAUUGGAGGGUCCUCCAUAGCCUUCCAGUCGUAGCGAAAGUGUUAAGUGCUCCGCCUGGGAGUAUGGUCGCAAGGCUG
rnacentral:rRNA from 1 species